rnacentral:rRNA from 1 species
UACGUAGGGACCAAGCGUUGUUCGGAUUUACUGGGCGUAAAGGGCGCGUAGGCGGCUUGACAAGUCACUUGUGAAAUCUCCGGGCUUAACUCGGAACGGCCAAGUGAAACUGUCAUGCUAGAGUGCAGAAGGGGCAAUCGGAAUUCUUGGUGUAGCGGUGAAAUGCGUAGAUAUCAAGAGGAACACCUGAGGUGAAGACGGGUUGCUGGGCUGACACUGACGCUGGAGGCGCGAAAGCCAGGGAGCAAACGGG